rnacentral:rRNA from 1 species
GAUGAACGCUAGCUACAGGCUUAACACAUGCAAGUCGAGGGGAAACGACAUCGAAAGCUUGCUUUUGAUGGGCGUCGACCGGCGCACGGGUGAGUAACGCGUAUCCAACCUGCCCACCACUUGGGGAUAACCUUGCGAAAGUAAGACUAAUACCCAAUGAUAUCCCACGAAGGCAUCCGAAUGGGAUUAAAGAUUUAUCGGUGAUGGAUGGGGAUGCGUCUGAUUAGCUUGUUGGCGGGGUAACGGCCCACCAAGGCAACGAUCAGUAGGGGUUCUGAGAGGAAAGUCCCCCACAUUGGAACUGAGACACGGUCCAAACUCCUACGGGAGGCAGCAGUGAGGAAUAUUGGUCAAUGGGCGAGAGCCUGAACCAGCCAAGUAGCGUGUGGGACGAAUGCCCUAUGGGUUGUAAACCACUUUUGCAGGAGGGUAAAAUGCUUCACGUGUGGAGUAUUGCAAGUAUCCUGCGAAUAAGGACCGGCUAAAUUCCGUG